rnacentral:sRNA from 1 species
AGUUUUGCGCCAUAGAGAGUCUACAAAAGUCUUGUUUUGGGCUGUAAAAUUGUGCCCUUCGACGAAAUAAAAUUGGACGGAAAUAAUAUUUAUCUAGGUUGAACGGGCUGAGAGGUCAUGGGACUCUUCACAUGGUAUCAGGCACAAAUAUGUUUGAUGGACCAAGGCUUUGAAAUCCACGAUGAAAACCUUUUAGCUGCUCGUCGGGUAAAAAAACUAUAUAUGAUAACUAAAAUAUUUAUCAAAGAAAAAUUAUGUUUUAUUAUACACCCAUCCUGUUUGAGAAGCGAAACAACACGGUCAAAAGUUUGAAUAUGAUAAUUUUUUUAAACCCUCGGGUGAAAUUUUGUGCAAUUUCUUACAGCGCACUCAUUCAUUUUAAAAUACAACUAUUUUAUAUUACAAUGUCAGUUGAGAACAUCGUCCAAAGUUUGACAGAAGUAUAUAGAGCAUAAAUGCAGUAUCCGAAUGUUAUAUUUAUGAUGUAAAAUAGUAGUACAGAAAGCUUUAUUGGGGGAGCAAAACUAUAAACAUGUCUAUUUGUUUUUAAUUUCAUGUAACUGGACCCAUGCUCGAAGCCCAUUAACGCCAUGCUCAGGAAAAUCAUACACAGUGUCAAAGAAAUUGUAGCUUUAUUUCAAAAAAUAAAACCUCUGAUUUAUAU